CCAGCCCCCGCACGCGCCCCUCUCCCAACGCUGACGCCGCCCACUUUGGCGGUCGCUCCACACGACAGAGACAACGCGGACGCCGGGAUGGCCUCGGCGCGUCGCCCGGCUCCAGCUGCUGCGGCGGCGGCGACACGGACAGUGAGGAGAGCCUGGGGCCCAGGGAGCUCGGGGGUGAAGGGCGGGGGCAUGAUGGAGAAGGUGAAGGAGCAGAUCCGGACGGUGGCCAUCUCUAGCCAUCAGCGGUGACCCCCGCCGGACCAACGGCCUCGACUGGAGGGAUGCAAACUGACACAGCGACACGGACAAAACAGACAUGGUGACUGUUGUCGAUGUUUUUUUUAGUUGUGUGUGCUCAAGCGUGACACAUUUCAAAUAAGAUAAGAUAAACUUUGUCAACUAAAAUGAUAGUUGACAUGGAAGUGAAAGUUUUUUUUUUGCGUUCCUUGAUUCAUGGCAACCAGUUGACAAUAAUGUUUUUUUGGAUUAAUCAUAUGCAUUAAAUUUAUAUGUCAUAUAUAUUUUUGUCACAUUAAUGGUGUAAUGUUGAUCAGUCAUCCUAUAAUUAUGCAAUGUGGUACAAGGACUGUGAAGAGAUCGAUUACCCUUAUUGCUGUGCUUUCUAUUGCUCUUUAUUCUUUAUGUCAGAUGUUCUUUAUAAGACAUGCAGUAGACACAGAACCACAAGAUACAUACAUGGGAAUGCACUGGAAUGUUUCUAAUUAUGGCCUCAAAGGUAUAGCAUCGUUCUACAGUAAGAAAACAAAAACUAAAAAGCAAACUAAAUUAACAUUUUUUAGGUGCAGGUUGUAACUAUUUGAAUGUGUGCUUCAGGUUGAGUAGCUUGUGCAGGCUGGCUGUAAGUAGCAUGCUGUAGUAGCUGGCUGUAGUAACUGGCUGUAGUAGCAUGCUGUAGUAUGCUGUAGUAGCAGGCUGUAGUAUGCUGUAGUAGCUGGCUGUAGUAGCAUGCUGUAGUAGCAUGCUGUAGUAGCUAGCUGUAGUAGCAUGCUGUAGUAGCUGGCUGUAGUAGCAUGCUGUAGUAGCUGGCUGUAAUAGCAUGCUGUAGUAGCUAGCUGUAGUAACUGGCUGUAGUAGCAGACUUGAAGAGGAGCUGAAGCUGAGAAGCAGUAUUGCCUCAGUUCUGCUCAGUGGUCGCCACGGCAGCCGCUCAGCUGAGGCCGUAACCCACAGCUAUGUCAUGUUGACUUCGCAGCUUUUGCUUUUUUUUGCGAAAGGCACAUUUCUCAGAGCUUUCACAACCAAGUGGCAAGAGCAUGUCUCUUUAUCUGCCUGCAUGUGUUUCAUCAAAUAUAUUGACUUCAGUCUUUUUUCACAUGGGUGGUGUCGAUAUUAACUCUAAAGCUAUCACUGGCCAGAGUGACAGCACUCUCAACUAUCUGAAGAAGUUAUUCUCCCCAUGCAGACUUUACAAAGAGGCUAUUAAUGUUUCAAAGGCAUCAUUAAGUGCUCAAACUGUAACAUUUUGAAGUUCUCUCAUUCCUCUUUCAUGCAACCAAUUAGAAAAAAAAGAAACAUUCUAUUUGGGAAGAUAUUGUGACAUUCAGCAUUGUAGACUGUGGAAAUAAAUAGAAUAAUCUGAGCAACACUGUUCCCCAUUUUGACAUCCUCAAACAAACAAACUCUCUCUCUCUCUCUCUCUCUCUCUCUCUCUCAAUCAAGCCGUGAAAAUGUUUUCCCUCCAACACAAAAAAGACCAGUAAGUCAUCACUAACAGGACACUUUCGCUGCCAAGGCAACCAGUCCCCCAUACAACGCCUCUGUAUUUCUGCACUUACUCAAAACAUUUCCUCUUAUUCCACUUCAAAAGGGCUGAG
ensembl:lncRNA